rnacentral:lncRNA from 1 species
UGAAAUUGAUAUAUGUGUUUCUUUCGAAGUUCAUGACGAGAGUGUAACUACCUCCCUAUGGUCGGUCAAGCGAGCCAAGGACAACGUACUACUGCUUGAAUUAUAUCCCCAUGUGUUCCAUAACAAAAGAGACAUACAAGUCAUUACAUCUUGGUAUAUUCAAUUGGCUAACCUGCAUAACCCCUCUUUUGCUAACAGGGCUCAAUGUGGUACGUAAAUGAUGUAGAGGCCAUAUUCUAAGUCAGUUGCAAAGGCUUGAGAGUUGAGAAGUGUGGUAUACGUCUCUUGCACCGGGAAGAAGAGGUGGAGUUUGAGAACACGAUAACUGAGUGCUCGACCUCUUUCUUCGAUAAUUUGUCACUCAACUGUCAACUUGUAGAAGCAGAUGACCAAAACGAUCAACCAUGGAUAAGGCAUGAGCCUCCAACGCUUGAAGGCCAUUUAUAUGAAGCAGAGGAAGCUUUGAGGGGAGAUUCAGUAGUGGUCCAAGUAUACGAGUGAGAAAGGGUACACUUAUAGCAUUGUUUUUCUCAGUUAGUGCAUUGAUUUCGUUUGUAGAUUCGUACAACAGCAAGAUAAGGAUUUGAUUGUUCGUCAGUCCAAAAUCGUUCAAAGCAACUUAUAUAUGUCUCCUCGGCCUCAGCCGCAAACCUCCUCGUCGAUUAGGAGAAAAUUUUAGGGAAACCAAACUCUUCGACAUCGACUUUAAUUCUGGUAACUUUUGACAUCACUUGACUGCCCUAAAUUUUGUAGCAAACAAUUUGCACCAAGAUGAGGAGAUAAUUGAUAGAGUUGGAAAUUUAGUUACCUAAAUUAUCGGGUGCAACCUGCACCGGAGUUAAACUCUAAAAGAUAUCGGUACCGAUAUCUCGUGUAACGAGUACUGGGCUUGUGUGACAGUAAGUUUCAUGAUGGAUGUUACUUUUUUUCACUUUAUUUAUUUAUUUAUUUUUCAUUAGUUCAGUACCUAUUUCUUAUUUUUACUGCAAAUGUUGUUUUAUAAUUUCAGGGAAAGACGUUGUUUAUUUUCUAAUUACGGGCUUGUGUGAAAGUACAUGUUACAUUAGAUACCGGUACCAAUAUCUAGUGCAACGUGCAACGUGCAACGGAAUUAGACUCCAUCAGAUAUCGGUACCGAUAUCUUGUGCAACCUGUAACGGACUUAAACUCCACCAGAUAUCGGUACCGAAAUCUAGUGUGCUGGACUGGCUUGUGUGACAGUUACACUAGAUAUCGGUACCGAUAUCUGGUGUAACCCGGACUGACCACAAAAUCGAUAUUGCUUUUAUUCAGUAUUUUUUUUCCUUCAGUACUUCAUGAGCUAUUUCUUUUGGAGUUUCCCAGAUUAGGAGAAAAUUUUGGGGAAACCAAACUCUUCGAUAACGACUUUAACUCUGGUAACGUUUGAAAUUACUUGACUGUCCUAAAUUUUGUAGCAAACAAUUUGCACCAAGAUGAGGAGAUAAUUGAUAGAGUUGGAAAUUUAGUUACCUAAAUUGUCUGGUGCAACCUGCACCGGAGUUAAACUCUAAAAGAUAUCGGUACCGAUAUCUCGUGUAACGAGUACUGGGCUUGUGUGACAGUAAGUUUCAUGAUGGAUGUUACUUUUUUCACUUUAUUUAUUUUUCAUUACUUCAGUACCUAUUUCUUAUUUUUACUGCAAUUGUUGUUUUCUAAUUUCAGGGAAAGCCGUUGUUUAUUUUCUAAUUACGGGCUUGUGUGAAAGUACAUGUUACAGUAGAUACCGGUGCCGAUAAUGCAACGUGCAACGGAGUUACACUCCACCAGAUAUCGGUACCGAUAUUUAGGGCAAACUGUAACGGAGUUAAACCCCACUAGAUAUCGGUACGGAUAUCUAGUGCAACCUGUAAUGGACUUAAACACUACCAGAUGGCGGUACCGAAAUCUAGUGUGCUGGACUGGCUUGUGUGACAGUUACACUAGAUAUCGGUACCGAUAUAUCGUGUAACCUGGACUGACCACAAAAACGAUAUUGCUUUUAUUCAGUACUUUUUUUUUCCUUCAGUACUUCAUGAGCCAUUUCUUAGUUCUACUGCAUUGUUUAUUUUUUAACUAUAGGGAUACGCAUUGUCUUCAUCAGUAGUAAUGCUAACGAAUAUCUUAGCUGUGCAUGUUCUAUGAUUGCUAAACAGUCCAAAGUGGCUAUCGAGUCGGUUGGUAAGUUUUUUUCACCAACUACGCUUCUAUCAUUGUUUUUCUCUGUUAGUGAAUCAAACCAUUUCAAGUCAAACACUUUUGAUUUGGAUUUGUUUGCAGAUUAAUAGAUCGAACAACAAGAUGUGGAUUUGAUUGUUCGUAAGUCCACAAUCGUUCAAACCGACUUAUGUAUUUGCCUCCUCGACCCGGGCCGCAAACCUCCACAUACAUGAGUUCUCCUCACCAACUGCACUUUUAGAAUUUUUUUGUCCAAGUAAAAGAGUGUUUGAACGAUUAGGUUUUAAUACCAAAUAAUUUGAAAUGUGAUCGAGUGUUAUAAAUCAUUAUAUGUGUUUCUUUUCGAAGUUCAUGACGAAAGUGUAACUACCUCCCUACGGUCGGUCAAGCGAGCCAAGGACAACGUACUACUGCUUGAAUCAUAUCCCCAUGUGUUCCAUAACAAAAGAGACAUACAAGUCAUUACGUCUUGGUAUAUUCAAUUGGCUAACCUGCAUACCCCCUCUUUUGCUAACAGAGCUCAAUGUGGUACGUAAGUGAUGUAGAGGCCAUAAUCUAUGUCAGUUGCAGAGGCUUGAGAGUUGAGAAGUGUGGUAUACGUCUCUUGCACCGGGAAGAAGAGGUGGAGUUUGAGAACACGAUAACUGAGUGCUCGACCUCUUUCUUCGAUAAUUUGUCACUCAACUGUCAACUUGUAGAAGCAGAUGACCAAAACGAUCAACCAUGGAUAAGGCAUGAGCCUCCAACGCUUGAAGGCCAUUUAUAUGAAGCAGAGGAAGCUUUGAGGGGAGAUUCAGUAGUGGUCCAAGUAUACGAGUGAGAAAGGGUACACUUAUAGCAUUGUUUUUCUCAGUUAGUGCAUUGAUUUCGUUUGUAGAUUCGUACAACAGCAAGAUAAGGAUUUGAUUGUUCGUCAGUCCAAAAUCGUUCAAAGCAACUUAUAUAUGUCNNNNNNNNNNNNNNNNNNNNUUGUUUAUUUUCUAAUUACGGGCUUGUGUGAAAGUACAUGUUACACUAGAUACCGGUACCGAUAUCCAGUGCAACGUGCAACGGAGUUGCACUCGGUACCGAUAUUUAGUGUAAACUGUAACGGAGUUAAACCCUACUCGAUAUCGGUGCCGAUAUCUAGUGCAAC